UGGGGAAUAUUGCACAAUGGGCGCAAGCCUGAUGCAGCCAUGCCGCGUGUGUGAAGAAGGCCUUCGGGUUGUAAAGCACUUUCAGCGAGGAGGAAGGCAAUCGUGUUAAUAGCACGGUUGAUUGACGUUACUCGCAGAAGAAGCACCGGCUAACUCCGUGCCAGCAGCCGCGGUAAUACGGAGGGUGCAAGCGUUAAUCGGAAUUACUGGGCGUAAAGCGCACGCAGGCGGUUUGUUAAGUCAGAUGUGAAAUCCCCGCGCUUAACGUGGGAACUGCAUUUGAAACUGGCAAGCUAGAGUCUUGUAGAGGGGGGUAGAAUUCCAGGUGUAGCGGUGAAAUGCGUAGAGAUCUGGAGGAAUACCGGUGGCGAAGGCGAUCAUCUGGGGCUAACCUGACACUGAGGAGCGAAAGCUAGGGGAGCAAACGGGAUUAGAUACCCCGGUAGUCCUAGCCGUAAACGAUGGACACUAGGUGUAGGUGGUAUCGACUCCAUCUGUGCCGCAGUUAACACAAUAAGUGUCCCGCCUGGGGAGUACGGCCGCAAGG
rnacentral:rRNA from 1 species